CUACUCCAAAAAACACUUCUCCCCUUCAAAUGAACCGUGAAGAUCCAUCUACAUCUGAAAUUCAACCAUGUUCUUCACAAGUCAAUGAUAACAAUCAAUCUAUGUUGGAGAGCAGAGUUAAAAUGGUAGGUCAACAUAACAAAAUUGAAACCAAAACACUAGAGUCGGAAAUAGAAGAGCUCCAAAAAAUAGACAGAAAAAGUGAAAUGACAUCAGACCCACAAGCUAUGGAGCAAAACUUUCCAGUCAUUUCUUCUCCAAACGUGACUCAGCGUACUGAUGAAACAGAGGCAAACAACAUUAGAAAAACUACGACAUCAGAUAAACUUGCAAUUCCAACUUAUGUUUUAGAGGUAAGAAGUUCGUCUCAAACUUGUAUUGUAACUCUUGCAUAAAAAUACUUGUAAACAUGGUUAAAGAAUAUUGAGGUACCAACACAUGAUGUACAUUAUGAAACAAAUGUUUUUAGAAGUUAUAAGUUCAAAUAUACACAAACAUUACUUUUCCAUUGGUGAUGAAUAGAAUAUUGAGGAAAUAGGAAGAGAAAGGAGCAACGGUGGAGCUGCAACAGAGGGAGCUACAAUUAAAACCUUGCCAAUUGGUGGAGAUAACAUUAGCUUGGUUAGUGGUGUUACAAUUCACAACUCAAGCGGUGCAAAUAUACUUCCACAAGAUUCCCAGGCUGUUAAACAAGAUAAUGUGAUGAAUGAAGACAAGACAGAAAUAGCACCAUACAAAAAUAUCAAAAUCCAAGCAGGGGUGAACUUGUUGAAUAAAACAGAGGAAAUAGGAAUUGUUUCUAAUAAUAACGUUGUGGUUACUCCAGAUACUCGUACAAGAUUGGAAAAGUAUAAGCACUUGGUUGAUCUGAAUGAUUCACAAAUUUCUCUGCUAGUGGAGGCGAUAGAAGCAUAUCCUCAUCUUUGGAAUGCUUGUGAGAAGUUCACUGAUCGCUUUCGAGCUUUUAUGUUGAAAACAUUGGCAGAUAUGUUGUUGUUCCUUCGAAGUGAAAGUGUUGGUAGUGUUAAUCCUGAGAGAGAAAAGGAGUUCCUUAAACUAUGUGAUGAAGUUGUUCAACUUGGAUUUGAAAAGUCGUGGGUUGAUGAAAUGCGUCAACGUGUUGUGGGAAGGGAUCCUAAGUUGGAGCAUGCAAGGGCACAAAUGGGCGAGCUUCUUAAGAGACACCAUCAUUUAACUCAAGAACUACACAAUAUGAAGAAACAACUUAUAAGUCUUAAUAACUUUUUUGAUGCUCCCACAAAAUGUUUCGACUUUUUAUGAUUGGCAAACACUUUACUUUGAUGCAUUUUAUGUUUCUUCUUAGACAUACAUUUAGUCUGAUUUGCAAUUCUUCUAUGAAUGAGUGUUAUGUCGUUGUUCUGUACUUCUUGAAGCAUGGUUUGAUAAAUAUUU